UUGAACGCUGGCGGCAUGCUUUACACAUGCAAGUCGAACGGCAGCGCGGGCUUCGGCCUGGCGGCGAGUGGCGAACGGGUGAGUAAUACAUCGGAACGUGCCCAGUAGUGGGGGAUAGCUCGGCGAAAGCCGGAUUAAUACCGCAUACGACCUGAGGGUGAAAGCGGGGGAUCUUCGGACCUCGCGCUAUUGGAGCGGCCGAUGGCAGAUUAGCUAGUUGGUGGGGUAAAGGCCUACCAAGGCGACGAUCUGUAGCUGGUCUGAGAGGACGACCGGCCACACUGGGACUGAGACACGGCCCAGACUCCUACGGGAGGCAGCAGUGGGGAAUUUUGGACAAUGGGCGAAAGCCUGAUCCAGCAAUGCCGCGUGUGUGAUGAAGGCCUUCGGGUUGUAAAGCACUUUUGGCGGGAACGAAAAGGACUGUGCCAAUACCACGGUUCGAUGACGGCACCCGCAGAAUAAGCACCGGCUAACUACGUG
rnacentral:rRNA from 1 species